GGUUUGCUGCACUUGACGCUGCAGGGCGGGCGGGGUAAAGAAGGGAGCGAGCCCUUCUCAAGCUUGGAAAGUUUCCAGACUGCUGGGCCAGCCUCCUCCCCAGAGGGAAACUGAGGUCCGAUUGAGGUUUCUCCAAGACCGCCCACUCCUGCUCCUGUCCCCAAACCCCUUUCUGCCUAGGGUUCCUGGAAGCCAAGGAAACAGAACGAACUGUUCCCUGGGUGGGCGAGCCACUGCAGAGUACAAAGCUUUCAGGCCGCCUGCCUCAUUAGCACUAAUGGCUGCUCCCUUCCGCCCUGUGUCGUCAGGACUGUCUAUGCCUGGUCUCAUCAGCACAAGGCUGGGGUAAGGACUGCCCUUUUGUGGAGAUGGCAGGACAUACAGGACCCUGCUGCCCCUGCCUUCCCUCACCCCACUGCAGAGCUGUUUAUCACACACGUGUCCAUCUGGGAAAGGAAUGCAGGCUGAAUCAGCUUUGAGAGGAUCGCAAGGCCCCAGUGCACAAACUGGGUUGGCACAAGGCAGUGGAAAAAAGAUGAAGGGGGCCAGUAACAGCUGAAGAAGUCCCAGGAGUCCUCCCAUGUCCUCUCAGCAACCCAGGCUGGAGCCUACUCCUUGGUGUUGGCAAAGGAAACCGUCUUUGAAGAGCCCCAGUGAGUCCCUGCUCUGCAAUGCUCAUACCCAUUGUGCUGUUACUGCAAGUCAAUGAGAACGUUGGUGGACUUCUCUCCACUUCACAGAAGAAUGAAUGGAGGCCCAGAACAAUGGCAUGAACCUGUCGUUUCUUGGCCUUUUGGCUAAGAUCAAGUGCAAUGGCAUGAACCUGACCAUAGUCGUAGACAAACAAGAGGCAGAGACAUUGUCUUAGUUUGAGUUCCCACUUCAGAAAACCUUGAGACAAACAUUGUAGCACAGGAAGUUUAUUAAGAGGAUACAAGCCAGGCAUGGUGGCUCACGCCUGUAAUCCCAACACUUUGGGAGGCCAGGGUGGACAGAUUGCCUGAGCCCAGGAGUUCAAAACCAGCCUGGGCAACAUGGGGAAAUCCUGUCUAUAAAAAAUACAAAACUUAGGCUGGGCGCAGUGGCUCACGCCCGUAAUCCCAGCACUCUGGGAGGCUGACAUGGCUGGAUCACUUGAGGUCAGGAGUUUGAGAUCAGCCUGGCCAACACGGUGAAUGAAACCCCAUUUCUACUAAAAAUACAAAAAUUAUCCAGGUGUUGUGGUGUGCACCUGUAAUCCUAGCUACUUGGGAGGCUGAGGCAGGAGGCUCACUUGAACCUGGGAGGCAGAGGUUGCAGUGAGCUGAGAUCGUGCCACUGCCACUCCAGCCUGGGUGACAGCGAGACUCUGUCUCAAAAAAAAAAUAGCCUGGCAUUGUGGCAUAUACCUGCAGUCCCAGCUAUUAGGGAGGCUUAGGUGGGAGGAUUGCUUAAGCCUAGGAGGUCAAGACUGCAGUAAGCCAGCCGGGGGCGGUGGGUCAAGCCUAUAAUCCCAGCACUUUGGGAGGCCGAGGCAGGCGGAUCAUGAGGUCAGGAGAUCAAGACCAUCCUGGCUAACAUGGUGAAACCCUGUCUCUGCUAAAAAUACAAAAAAAUUAGCCGGGUGUGGUGGCGGGCGCCUGUAGUCCCAGCUACUCAGGAGGCUGAGGCAGGAGAAUGGCUUGAACCCGGGAGGCAGAGCUUACAGUGAGCUGAGAUUGCACCACUGCACUCCAGCCUGGGCGACAGAGCAAGACUCCAUCUCAAAAAAAAAAGACUGCAGUAAGCCGUGAGCAUGCCACUACACUCAGUCUGGGCGACAGAGCAAGACCCUGUCUCAAAAAUAAAUAAGGAAAUAAAAGAGGAUACAAAGAACAAGCGUACAAAAA
rnacentral:lncRNA from 1 species